CUUGCCUUGGAGUCAGACAAGAAACAUUACGUCUCUGGCUUCAGGCAACUGAAACAAGAAAACCACGAUUAGAGAGCUGUGUAAGAAAAACAAAAGUCCAUGUGUGGCAAGGGAAAGGAUGAUUUGGUACUAUUGUGAUAGACACAGGUGACACAAGUAUGUCAAUGUCUUAAAAAAUCAUUGUCAUUUAUAUACGCUUCCCUCUAAUUUGCACUUCAGAGACUUACUGAGGACAAAAGAAGCUUGCAUAAGCUCUCCUGUAGUUCCACUGAAAUGAACAGGAGCAGUUGAGAGUGAGUUACCACCCAGAAUGGAUCUUUCUAAAACUGCAGCUGUCAAACCAGUUCAUCGGAAUGAGGCAUGGAACAAUGAAAAGCUUCACAGCCCAGGGAGCUUGGUGACAAACAGUGCUUUGGUGAAAGCCUUCCACUUUUUCACAGCCUUCAUGGCCAGAAAGACUUUUGACCUCAGAAGCGCUCUCAAAAGGAACAUUUAUCCAGAGAAUGAAUGCAGGGGAAAGUUAUCUGAGCCACUCAGCAAAUGAUCCAUCACCUGUGACCAUUUCUCUCACAUUCACUGUGGAGCUUCAGGAGAACUUUUCAGUGGAAACCUUCUGCCACCAUUAAUCAGAAUCAGUCAUUUCAUUAAUGAACAUACAGAUUUUAGGAGAUGUUUUAUUUUUACUGUAAUCCAGGUAUUUAAUUAGUUUUGCUUUAAGCUUCACUUCAGGAUGUUAAGGGAUAGAUCUGAAAAGCAGCUCAGAAGCACUAAUCAAAUCCAGAGUUGCGGGGAAUAUAUGCUUGCAUAUUUGUUGCAUGUUUCACCAAAAUAAAUGGUGGCUUUUCAGAAAGUCUCCAAAACAGUGGGCUUCAGUUCUAUCUGUCUGUGACAUUUGCCACAUUCUGCUUUUGAGUUGUCUUCUGUUUGUUCCAAUUAGAUAUAUCUAUACUGACCCUGCAAAAUAGAUGUGACAAGGAUUGUGUUAUGACCUUGAGGCUAAAGGGCACACACAGGUGCCAUCUACAUCACAUUGUGCUUAGUCCAGAGGCUUCUUGAAACUCAAGGUGGUUUUAGGACACAG